rnacentral:rRNA from 6 species
UCUGGUUAUUUGUGCGAACUGGAACCACCUCUUCCCAUUCCGAACAGAGUCGUGAAACGGUUAGAGCGCCAACGAUACUACGGGUUAACGCCCAAUGGAAAAUAGGUCAUAGCCAGGG